rnacentral:rRNA from 1 species
CCACACGACUCUCGGCAACGGAUAUCUCGGCUCUCGCAUCGAUGAAGAACGUAGCGAAAUGCGAUACCUGGUGUGAAUUGCAGAAUCCCGCGAACCAUCGAGUCUUUGAACGCAAGUUGCGCCCGAGGCCUUUCGGCUGAGGGCACGCCUGCCUGGGCGUCACG